rnacentral:lncRNA from 1 species
GGUAGCCAUGUGAGUCGAUCAGCAAAAACAACUACAGAACAUGGAGUAGAGUAGGGCUGGGCAGAAAUACCAGAAAACAAGGGAAAAGCUUCCAGAUACUGCUUGCUGCCUCCACAUAUCUGAUCAAAAACAACUGACAUGAAAAAAACCCAAAGCUGUUUAACCAAAAAAGGAUGGAGGUAGUGGGAGAGAAAUCAGGUAUGUAAAAAGAGCUACAUUAGAAAAAGAUUCACCAUUUAAAU